CAGCCGCCACGGUAACACGGAGGGUGCAAGCGUUAAUCGGAAUUACUGGGCGUAAAGCGCACGCAGGCGGUCUGACAAGUCAGAUGUGAAAUCCCCGGGCUUAACCUGGGAACUGCAUUUGAAACUGUCAGGCUGGAGUCUUGUAGAGGGGGGUAGAAUUCCAGGUGUAGCGGUGAAAUGCGUAGAGAUCUGGAGGAAUACCGGUGGCGAAGGCGGCCCCCUGGACAAAGACUGACGCUCAGGUGCGAAAGCGUGGGGAGCAAACAGGAUUAGAUACCCCGGUAGUCCCUGUCUCUUAUAC
rnacentral:rRNA from 1 species